rnacentral:rRNA from 1 species
UACGGAGGGUGCGAGCGUUGUUCGGAAUCACUGGGCGUAAAGGGCGUGUAGGCGGUCCGCUAAGUCUGAUGUGAAAGCCCGGGGCUCACCCCCGGAAGUGCAUUGGAAACUGGCGGACUCGAGUCCCGGAGAGGAGAGUGGAAUUCCUGGUGUAGCGGUGAAAUGCGUAGAUAUCAGGAGGAACACCGGUGGCGAAGGCGGCUCUCUGGACGGUGACUGACGCUGAGACGCGAAAGCGUGGGGAGCGAACGGG